AGGGUGACAGCCCCGUACACAAAAAUGCACAUGCUGUGAGCUCGAUGAGUAGGGCGGGACACGUGGUAUCCUGUCUGAAUAUGGGGGGACCAUCCUCCAAGGCUAAAUACUCCUGACUGACCGAUAGUGAACCAGUACCGUGAGGGAAAGGCGAAAAGAACCCCGGCGAGGGGAGUGAAAAAGAACCUGAAACCGUGUACGUACAAGCAGUGGGAGCCUCUUAAUGGGGUGACUGCGUACCUUUUGUAUAAUGGGUCAGCGACUUAUAUUCUGUAGCAAGGUUAACCGAAUAGGGGAGCCGAAGGGAAACCGAGUCUUAACUGGGCGUUAAGUUGCAGGGUAUAGACCCGAAACCCGGUGAUCUAGCCAUGGGCAGGUUGAAGGUUGGGUAACACUAACUGGAGGACCGAACCGACUAAUGUUGAAAAAUUAGCGGAUGACUUGUGGCUGGGGGUGAAAGGCCAAUCAAACCGGGAGAUAGCUGGUUCUCCCCGAAAGCUAUUUAGGUAGCGCCUCGUGAAUUCAUCUCCGGGGGUAGAGCACUGUUUCGGCAAGGGGGUCAUCCCGACUUACCAACCCGAUGCAAACUGCGAAUACCGGAGAAUGUUAUCACGGGAGACACACGGCGGGUGCUAACGUCCGUCGUGAAGAGGGAAACAACCCAGACCGCCAGCUAAGGUCCCAAAGUCAUGGUUAAGUGGGAAACGAUGUGGGAAGGCCCAGACAGCCAGGAUGUUGGCUUAGAAGCAGCCAUCAUUUAAAGAAAGCGUAAUAGCUCACUGGUCGAGUCGGCCUGCGCGGAAGAUGUAACGGGGCUAAACCAUGCAC
rnacentral:rRNA from 1 species